AAAACUUUCAACAACGGAUCUCUUGGUUCUGGCAUCGAUGAAGAACGCAGCGAAAUGCGAUAAGUAAUGUGAAUUGCAGAAUUCAGCGAAUCAUCGAAUCUUUGAACGCACAUUGCACCCCCUGGUACUCCGGGGGUAUGCCUGUCCGAGCGUCGUC
rnacentral:rRNA from 1 species